rnacentral:rRNA from 1 species
CCUACGGGAGGCUGCAGUGGGGAAUAUUGCACAAUGGGGGUAACACUGAUGCAGCGACGCCGCGUGAGUGAAGAAGUAAUUCGUUAUGUAAAGCUGUAUCAGCAGGGAAGAAAAUGACGGUACCUGAGUAAGAAGCCCCGGCUAACUACGUGCCAGCAGCCGCGGUAAUACGUAGGGGGCAAGCGUUAUCCGGAUUUACUGGGUGUAAAGGGAGCGUAGAGGGCAGUGCAAGUCUGGAGUGAAAGGCGGGGGCGCAACCCCCGGACUGCUCUGGAAACUGUCCGGCUUGAGUGCAGGAGAGGUAAGUGGAAUUCGUAGUGUAGCGGUGAAAUGCGUAGAUAUUAGGAGGAACACCAGUGGCGAAGGCGGCUUACUGGACUGUAACUGACGUUGAGGCUCGAAGGCGUGGGGAGCAAACAGGAUUAGAUACCCCAGUAGUC